rnacentral:tRNA from 1 species
AGUUACUCCUGGGGACAAUUUGUCUUGAAAACAAAUUUAAAGUGUUCAAUUCACUUAGUAAUUU